rnacentral:ribozyme from 1 species
CCAAUCCAAGACUCGCUUCGAUUACCGCGCGACAACUUGCUGCAUCAUGACGACGACUGAGGACACACUGUAGGUUGAUUUACACGCAGAGGACUGCCAGACUUGACGAGCGCAUAAGUGAAGGAGGAGCGAGGAAGUGAUCUAAAAAUGAAUGCACUG